AGGAGGAACAACCGCAGUGGCAGCGGCCAGCUCUGGAGCCCUGGAUUCAGCCCCCGCAGUAACUCCAGAGCUCUCCGUUUGCAGGGGCCUGGAUCCUCCGGGAGCGG
rnacentral:pre_miRNA from 1 species